ACUGAAUUGGCGUAAUGGGAACGCAUCAGAUUUGUACUCUGAGGACUGCAGGUUCGACUCCUGUGUUCGGAUA
rnacentral:tRNA from 1 species